rnacentral:rRNA from 1 species
UUGACCUCGGAUCAGGUAGGGAUACCCGCUGAACUUAAGCAUAUCAAUAAGCGGAGGAAAAGAAACCAACAGGGAUUGCCUCAGUAACGGCGAGUGAAGCGGCAACAGCUCAAAUUUGAAAUCUGGCCUCUUUGGGGUCCGAGUUGUAAUUUGUAGAGGAUGUUUCGGGUACCGCCUCGGUUUAAAUUUCUUGGAACAGAAUGUCAAAGAGGGUGAGAAUCCCGUCUUGGACCGGCGGUAGGGCCCAUGUGAAACUCCUUCGACGAGUCGAGUUGUUUGGGAAUGCAGCUCAAAAUGGGUGGUAAAUUUCAUCUAAAGCUAAAUAUUGGCCAGAGACCGAUAGCGCACAAGUAGAGUGAUCGAAAGAUGAAAAGCACUUUGAAAAGAGAGUUAAACAGUAUGUGAAAUUGUUGAAAGGGAAGCGCUUACAACCAGACUUGCGCGCGGCGGUUCCCCCUUCCUUUUGGUUGGGCUACUCCGUCGUGUCCAGGCCAACAUCGGUUCUGGGGGUCGGUUAAAGACCCUGGGAAUGUACCUACCCUUCGGGCGUAGACUUAUAGGCCCAGGGUGUCAUGCGACCCUCCCG